rnacentral:miRNA from 1 species
UGUUACUAUGGCAUCUGGUAA